GAACUAUAUAUUGUGGUAUAUAGCUAUAGUCUAGUUUAACUAUCCUGGUUUAGGUGGGUUAGCUGUGGUAGUGCUAGGAGCUAUAUCAUGUGGAAUAGCUAGGCUUUGCAGAAAAGAAGACAGGGAUGGAGGAGGAGGGGGUCCUGGGUAUAGUGUGGCGAUCAGUAACAGUCUUUUCAGAGAUGGAGUGGAAAAUAUGAAGGAUCUACCGUGCUUGAACUGUAGACUUAUAGAGAUGGGAGAAAUGGCCUGCUAUCAGG